GGAGAGGGUAUGGGGGUACAGUGAUACAGGGGGAGAGGGUAUGGGUGUACAGUGAUACAGGGGGAGAGGGUAUGGGGGUACAGUGAUACAGGGGGAGAUGGUAUGGGGCAGAGUGGUACAUGGAGGAGAAGGUAUGGGGGUACAGUGAUACAGGGGGAUAGGGUAUGGGGCAGAGUGGUACAUGGAGAAGGUAUGGGGGUACAGUGAUACAGGGGGAUAGGGUAUGGGGCAGAGUGGUACAUGGAGGAGAAGGUAUGGGGGUACAAUGAUACAGGGGGAGAGGGUAUGGGGGUACAGUGAUACAGGGGGAGAGGGUAUGGGGCAGAGUGGUACAUGGAGGAGAAGGUAUGGGGGUACAGUGAUACAGGGGGAGAGGGUAUGGGGCAGAGUGGUACAUAGAGGAGAGGGUAUGGGGCAGAGUGAUACAUGGAGGAAAAGGUAUGGGGGUACGGUGAUACAGGGGGAGAGGGUAUGGGGUAGAGUGGUACAUGGAGGAGAAGGUAUGGGGGUACAGUGAUACAGGGGGAGAGGGUAUGGGGCAGAGUGGUACAUGGAGGAGAAGGUAUGGGGGUACAGUGAUACAGGGGGAGAGGGUAUGGGGCAGAGUGGUACAU